rnacentral:rRNA from 1 species
UUGAUCCUGGCUCAGAUUGAACGCUGGCGGCAUGCCUUACACAUGCAAGUCGAACGGCAGCACGGGGGCAACCCUGGUGGCGAGUGGCGAACGGGUGAGUAAGACAUCGGAACGUGUCCUGGAGUGGGGGAUAGCCCGGCGAAAGCCGGAUUAAUACCGCAUACGCUCGGGAGAGGAAAGCGGGGGAUCGCAAGACCCCGCGCUCAAGGGGCGGCCGAUGGCGGAUUAGCUAGUUGGUGGGGUAAAGGCCUACCAAGGCGACGAUCCGUAGCUGGUCUGAGAGGACGACCAGCCACACUGGGACUGAGACACGGCCCAGACUCCUACGGGAGGCAGCAGUGGGGAAUUUUGGACAAUGGGGGCAACCCUGAUCCAGCAAUGCCGCGUGUGUGAAGAAGGCCUUCGGGUUGUAAAGCACUUUUGUCCGGAAAGAAAACGGUUGGGUGAAUACCCUGACUGGAUGACGGUACCGGAAGAAUAAGCACCGGCUAACUACCUGCCAGCAGCCGCGGUAAUACGUAAGGUGCGAGCGUUAAUCGGAAUUACUGGGCGUUAAGCGUGCGCAGGCGGUGCGUUAAGA